GCUUGCCUUCGAUAGUUGGGCUUGCUUUCGGCGAGCUCACCAAACCUCGCAUUGGCCGGGUGAGCCUUCGGUGAGCUCAUCAAACCAGUUGCCGACGACCAGCGACGGCGGCGGACAGCAGCAUGGGAUGGUGGUCGAUGAAGAAAAAGAAAAGAGAAAAAGAAGAAGAGAAAAGGGAAGAAGAGUUGGUUUUGAUUCUUAGAUUUGUUCCUGGAACAAAAAUCAACUUUUUUUAUUAUUAUUGAUUCUAUUCCAAAUCUACUUCCGGGAACAAAAAAAAAUAUAAAUUU
rnacentral:lncRNA from 1 species